UACGUAGGGUGCGAGCGUUAAUCGGAAUUACUGGGCGUAAAGCGUGCGCAGGCGGUUUUGUAAGCCAGAUGUGAAAUCCCGGCUUAACCUGGGAAUGGCAUUUGGGACUGCAAGGCUUGAGUGCGGCAGAGGAGACUGGAAUUCCUGGUGUAGCAGUGAAAUGCGUAGAUAUCAGGAGGAACACCGAUGGCGAAGGCAGGUCUCUGGCUGGACACUGACGCUCAUGCACGAAAGCGUGGGAGC
rnacentral:rRNA from 1 species